UCCUGGUCCUCUCGCUGCCCCCUG
rnacentral:miRNA from 15 species